rnacentral:lncRNA from 1 species
CGCCUCUCCUCUUUGCCGAUUCUCUCAAAUCAGAUCAGAUCUAGGGUUUUUGAUUUCCACAGGUAUGUUUAUCUACGCUUUUGAUUUUGUUUAUAUGUGUUUCAUAUUGCUGGUCAAUUUUGGAGGGUGCCCAUUUGUAUUUUCUUUUGUACGAUGAUUUAAAAGAUUCUUUUACACAUUACAAAUACAUGUUAGGUGGCUUUCAAUUAUUUUAAUUUGUUUUUAUUGAAAACUUUUGAAUCAAAGAUUCAAAGAUAGAGGUGUUGUUGAAUAACUGAGAUGUUAUAUCUUAUCAAAUGAAUGAAAAUCGUGCGAAAUGGGCUGAAGUAAACUGCCAUUUAUUUGAGCAAUCCAACAGUUGCGGCGGUGACAAGGAAUACGUUUCCGGCCACCCUUUUUCCGUUGAAGUUCUGGUCAACUUCUGCUUCUGAUUACACAUAUUUGAUGAAGACUGGCCUCUGCAGCAACUUUGUUCUACAGUGUGGCUGUUCGAAACCUUGGUUCUUGGCCAAGCAAAGUUUAGCAUCAUAUACAAGUACUUGGCUAAGCAAAGGGUGGGUAAAAAGAAACUGCAGUUGGUUGGUUCUGUUGUCAUGCUUUUGGCUUGACGAAGUUUCAGGACUUUUAUCUCUCAUUUUCACCUUUGGCGCAUAUAUUGAUCAGCUGAUGCGUAGCAAUGCUUUAUUAAUCAUAUUGCAUCUAAAGGAUUUUGGUGUGGGGUGAAUGGUCUGAGUUUGAGGUAAAAUUGGUUUGUGAAGAUCUGCGAGCUGCAAUGAUUUAUGCAUGGGUCUGCAACACAUAUCGCUCAAGGCCACAUGUUUUAUGUUUUAAAUUCACAAGCAUGUGGAUGCUAUGUCGCUUUACGAAGAGUUAAAACCAUAAAUGGUGUCGGUGGCGAUGAAGAUUUAUUUCUGUAUGUAUACCUCUACAUCUGUGUUGGCGAUGAAGAAUUCUUUCUUUCUGCAUAUAAUGUUUCAGAGCAUAAUAAAGGGUGAUUUUGGGAGGGAAUCACUCAAAAUAUACGGAGGUCCAUGAUUUAUGGUGUAAGAGAUGUGGUUGUGGUGUUUGGGUUGGCUGCAGUGGCGAUGAAGAUUUCUUUCUGUAUGUAUACCUCUGCAUCUGUGUUAAAGAUGAAGAUUUCUUUCUUUCUACAUAUAAUGCUUCCGAGCAUAAUAAGUUAGCGGACUUUGUGUGAAAGUGGGUCCAUAUCUUGGCGGGGCAACCUGGAUUCUGAUGCAGCCAUGACGGAGCCUCACCCACUUUGUUCUCUUUCGUAU